rnacentral:rRNA from 1 species
AGAGUUUGAUCCUGGCUCAGAGCGAACGCUGGCGGCAUGCUUAACACAUGCAAGUCGCACGGGCACUUCGGUGUCAGUGGCGGACGGGUGAGUAACGCGUAGGUAUCUAUCCUUGGGUGGGGGAUAACGGCUGGAAACGGCUGCUAAUACCGCAUGAUAACUGAGGUUCAAAGGCGCGAGUCGCCUGGGGAGGAGCCUGCGUACGAUUAGCUAGUUGGUGGGGUAAAGGCCUACCAAGGCUGCGAUCGUUAGCUGGUCUGAGAGGAUGAUCAGCCACAUUGGGACUGAGACACGGCCCAAACUCCUACGGGAGGCAGCAGUGGGGAAUAUUGGACAAUGGGCGAAAGCCUGAUCCAGCAAUGCCGCGUGUGUGAAGAAGGUCUUCGGAUUGUAAAGCACUUUCGACGGGGACGAUGAUGACGGUACCCGUAGAAGAAGCCCCGGCUAACUUCGUGCCAGCAGCCGCGGCAAUACGAAGGGGGCUAGCGUUGCUCGGAAUGACUGGGCGUAAAGGGCGCGUAGGCGGAUUGCACAGUCAGAUGUGAAAUUCCUGGGCUUAACCUGGGGGCUGCAUUUGAUACGUGUGAUCUAGAGUGAGGAAGAGGGUCGUGGAAUUCCCAGUGUAGAGGUGAAAUUCGUAGAUAUUGGGAAGAACACCGGUGGCGAAAGCGGCGACCUGGUCCUUGACUGACGCUGAGGCGCGAAAGCGUGGGGAGCAAACAGGAUUAGAUACCCUGGUAGUCCACGCUGUAAACGAUGUGUGCUGGAUGUUGGGCGACCUAGUCGCUCAGUGUCGUAGCUAACGCGAUAAGCACACCGCCUGGGGAGUACGCCGCAAGUUGAAACUCAAAGGAAUUGACGGGGGCCCGCACAGCGGUGGAGCAUGUGGUUUAAUCGAGCACGCGCAGAACCUUACCAGGCUUGACAUGGAGAAGGCC